UACGGUGCCUGCACCCAGCAGCCUUGUCCUGAUGGGAUGUUGAAAAAGCAGUGCAGCAUUUGGCAUCCUUGGUUUUCAGUCUGCUGUGUCGGUUAAACCUGGUAUUUUUGCUGAAACAGUC